ACCUGGGUGGCAUAAUUAGUUAAGCAUUUGACUAGUAACUGAAAGGUUGGUGGUUCAAACCCACCCAUAGGUG
rnacentral:tRNA from 1 species